rnacentral:rRNA from 1 species
CCUACGGGCGGCUGCAGUGGGGAAUAUUGCACAAUGGGCGCAAGCCUGAUGCAGCCAUGCCGCGUGUGUGAAGAAGGCCUUCGGGUUGUAAAGCACUUUCAGCGGGGAGGAAGGCGUUAAGGUUAAUAACCUUGGCGAUUGACGUUACCCGCAGAAGAAGCACCGGCUAACUCCGUGCCAGCAGCCGCGGUAAUACGGAGGGUGCAAGCGUUAAUCGGAAUUACUGGGCGUAAAGCGCACGCAAGCGGUCUGUCAAGUCGGAUGUGAAAUCCCCGGGCUCAACCUGGGAACUGCAUUCGAAACUGGCAGGCUAGAGUCUUGUAGAGGGGGGUAGAAUUCCAGGUGUAGCGGUGAAAUGCGUAGAGAUCUGGAGGAAUACCGGUGGCGAAGGCGGCCCCCUGGACAAAGACUGACGCUCAGGUGCGAAAGCGUGGGGAGCAAACAGGAUUAGAUACCCCAGUAGUC